rnacentral:tRNA from 1 species
UUCUAAGGAUGUAUCUAGAUACUUGGUUGAGUUACCAACGCGCUCAAGUAGCGAAGCGGUAGCGCAUAAAAGUCGUGAUACACUUAGCAAUGAACAGUAAUCAAAACUGUUCAACAUCAGUUAGGUCCUUACGUCGCCGCAAGGCGGUAGGACACUAACAUGGACCGAGCCGUCCUCAUAUCUCUUCAGACAAGUCGCGGCAGCAGCCGUUAUCUGGCGCUGCCUGGUGACAUAACCACUGAGUGCUGCUCUCGGGCAUUGCUUUGCAAUACCCUGUCGCACACGGGUUUUGAUUUGCUUUGCAAAUCGAAAACCGGGUCGGUAGCUCAGGUGGUUAGAGCGCACGCCUGAUAAGCGUGAGGUCGGAGGUUCAAGUCCUCCUCGACCCACCACUCAUCCUUCGGGAUUAAGAUGGGGCCUUAGCUCAGCUGGGAGAGCGCCUGAUUUGCAUUCAGGAGGUCAGGAGUUCGAUCCUCCUAGGCUCCACCAUUACAGACAAUUAGAUCGUUAAGCACUGUGCGCAGUUCUUAACCGUCCAAUUGGACGAAUUGAUAUCGUAAAGAGAGAAACAAUCAACAACACUGUUGAUCGCCCCGAGUGUGGGGAUGAUCUCAGAUUGGUGCUGGGUGAGAUCUUCGGGUUUUACACAGCGAGCUUAUGAACACGUCUGUUUCCUCGGACGUCCAUGAGUAUGCCGGUUUGAAACGACAGAGUUGUCCAAGUCAAGUACACUAACCCGGUUCCAAUUCCGCAUAGGUUUUGGAACCACAUAUGUUUGACGCCUGUUUUGAUACCGGGUCUGACCGACAUCAGGCCCUCAAGUAGCGAAGCGAUAGGGCAUCAAACAUGGGAAAGUAUGCUUUUUGGUUCAGAGAUUGUGGUCCGGCUACUUACCAGCGGCUGGAUCCUGAUUGCCAUUGAUGUUUUGGCGCUCGGUGUUUGAGACUUAAUCAAGUCCUCAAGUAGCGAAGCGGCAGGAGAUCAUAUCUGCGCUCAAGUAGCCGAAUAGGCGGUAGCGCAAAUAACGUGGCUCUCUAUUUCUGG